rnacentral:tRNA from 1 species
GGGGAUAUGGCGGAAUCGGUAGACGCUACGGACUUAAAAUCCGUUGAUAAUAAUAUAUCGUGAGGGUUCAAGUCCCUCUAUCCCCA